UACGAAGGGUGCAAACGUUGCUCGGAAUCAUUGGGCGUAAAGCGCACGUAGGCGGCGCAGUAAGUCGGACGUGAAAUCCCUCGGCUCAACCGAGGACGUGCAUCCGAAACUACUGUGCUCGAGUAUGGAAGAGGGUCGCGGAAUUCUCGGUGUAGAGGUGAAAUUCGUAGAUAUCGGGAGGAACACCAGUGGCGAAGGCGGCGACCUGGGCCAAUACUGACGCUGAGGUGCGAAAGCAUGGGGAGCGAACAGG
rnacentral:rRNA from 1 species